UGUCUCAGUUGGUAAAGAAUCUGCCUGCAAUGCAGGAGACCCUGGUUCAAUUCCUGG
rnacentral:tRNA from 1 species